AACUUUUAGCAACGGAUCUCUUGGCUCUCGCAUCGAUGAAGAACGCAGCGAAAUGCGAUAAAUAAUGUGAAUUGCAGAAUUCAGUGAAUCAUCGAAUCUUUGAACGCACCUUGCACCCUUUGGCAUUCCGAAGGGUAUGCUCGUUUGAGUGUCAUUGUACUCUCACACUCCCGAUGCUUUUGGAUUGGGAGUGGUGGACUUGGGUGUUGCUGCUUUACUGUGGCUCACCUCAAAUGGAGUAGUGCAACUCUUGGUUGGACAUAGUACGGCGUGAUAAGUGUCUUCGCCGGCGCCUCAUUAGAGGGUGGCCGAUCGGGAGCUCUGUGCUUCAAACCGUCUUCGGACAACAUCUGACAACUUGACCUCAAAUCGAGUAGGACUACCCGCUGAACUUAAGCAUAUCAAUAAGCGGAGGCU
rnacentral:misc_RNA from 1 species